CGUCUAUAUACGUAUAGCAUAUCAAUAAGCGGAGGAAAAGAAACUAACAAGGAUUCCCUUAGUAACGGCGAGUGAAGCGGGAAGAGCUCAAAUUUGAAAUCUUCAAGGUUCUACCUUGACGAAUUGUAGUUUAAAGAAGUGUUUUCUGUUAGAGUUUGAGUAGCAAAAGUUCCUUGGAAUAGGGACAUCAUAGAGGGUGAGAAUCCCGUAUUUGGUUAUUCUUUCUAGCUUUGUGAUACACUUUCAAAGAGUCGGAUUGUUUGGGAAUGCAGUCCAAAAUGGGUGGUAAAUUUCAUCUAAAGCUAAAUAUUGGCGAGAGACCGAUAGCGAACAAGUACCGUGAGGGAAAGAUGAAAAGAACUUUGAAAAGAGAGUUAAACAGUACGUGAAAUUGUCAAAAGGGAAGCGUUUGACACCAGUGUUGUUUUUCCGAAAAUCAAUUAAGAGUGGCUUGAUUUUGUGUUGUAUUGACCUUAUCAGCUUUCUUCACUCUUUUUCGAGUCUUUCUUAAUGCACUUUUCGGUUAACAAGUCAACAUCAAUUUCUUUUGUUGUAAAAGGGUAUUUGGAAGGUGGCUUUCUUUUCGGAGAAAGUGUUUAUAGCCUUAUACCUCUACAAUCGGAGAGAUUGAGGUCUGCAGCGUAGAUCCUUCGGGGCUAGAUACACUUGUGCUAAGUUAUAGCUUUUCAUAGACAACUUGUUGACUAUGUUUAGUCAUGUAGCUUACCCGCUUGUGCUAUUUUACCUACGCUUAGGAUGUUGAGUCAUCACACAUCUCU
rnacentral:rRNA from 1 species